GGGAAUUCCUACUGAAAUGUUUCCCACACUCUGGGCACUCAUACUGUUUCUCUCCUGUGUGAGUCUUCUGGUGUUGCAUAAGGCUGGAAUUCUGAGUGAAACUUUUCCCACAACGUGGACACUCAUAAGGUUUCUCUCUUGUGUGAGUCCUCUGGUGUGACACCAGCUGGAAAUUCCAGCUGAAACAUUUGCCACAAUUUGGACAUUGAUAUGGUUUUUAUCCUGUGUGAAUACUCUGGUGCACCAGGAGGUUGGAAUUCUGACUGAAACAUUUUCCACAUUAUGGACAUUCAUAUGGCUUGUCUCCAGUGUGAGUAGUCUGGUGUUUCACAAGGUUGGAAUUCUGACUGAAACUUUUCCCACAAUCUGGACACUCAUAUGGUUUGUCUCCUGUGUGAGUCCUCUGGUGUGACACCAGCUGGAAAUUCCGACUGAAACAUUUCCCACAAUCUGGACAUACAUAUGGUUUUUCUCCUGUGUGAAUCCUCUGGUGAAUCAGGAGGUUAGAAUUCUGACCAAAACUUUUCCCACAAUCUGGACACUCAUACGGUUUGUCUCCUGUGUGAAUUCUCUGGUGUUUCAAAAGGUUGGAAUUCUGACUGAAGCUUUUCCCACAAUCUGGACACUUAUAGGGUUUGUCUCCUGUGUGAAUCCUCUGGUGGGUCACCAACUGGGAAUUCUCACUGAACCUU